rnacentral:rRNA from 1 species
GACUGACCGAUAGUGAACCAGUACCGUGAGGGAAAGGCGAAAAGAACCCCGGCGAGGGGAGUGAAAAAGAACCUGAAACCGUGUACGUACAAGCAGUGGGAGCCCCACCACCAAAGCAUUCUCUGGUGUUGAAGGCCCUGCAAAGCAGCAUCGCGGUGGCGGAGCGUCGUUUGCGACGCCCAACACACAAAACAAGCGGUGAGUGCUUUGGGGUGGGGUGACUGCGUACCUUUUGUAUAAUGGGUCAGCGACUUAUAUUCUGUAGCAAGGUUAACCGAAUAGGGGAGCCGGAGGGAAACCGAGUCUUAAUUGGGCGUUAA